UGGAAGCUGGCUGCUGGGUCGUCAACCGGAGUGGACUCUGGUUUCAUGUUCGUGUCCACGUCGAAUAGCCCGGAGAGGUCGAAGCUUGGGGAGAGAGAAAUGAUUUCGAAUGCCUUUAGGCACGUGGGUUUCAUUGAGGAUCCGAUGGCGUCCGAGGUGGAGUGGUCGUCGACGAUGUCGAAAAUGCUUCUCGGAGAUUCUUCGUUCUGGGUGUCAGCAUUGGGGAUUAUGGGUUUGGGUUGGGGUAGGAUUUGGGUGAAAAUUGCCAACCGCAUGAAAUUCUGUGCUACCUUGCUCGGAAGCUGGCCGGAGUGGUCUCCUCCGGGCGUAAUCUCGUCGCAAUAGAAGCGCCUCCAUGCUCCUCGCGACGUCUCCGGUGAACUCCACUGUCCACCGCCUCCGAGUUUGUCGCCGGCUGCCUGCUCCGCCGCCUCACUCGCUCACUGACGAACGAAACAAAGGAGGUGGAAGUGGCUGAGGUUGGGGAUAAGAAGGCUGAGGAACCCCCACGUAUUUAAUUGAUUCUUCUGCAUCAUCCAUGGUGAAUUUCAACGACGGUGGAGAGAUGGAACGCGGCGGCAAUGAGGACUACGGAGGCGGUGGGUUCUAUCAGGCGGAGAAGAAGCGGCGACUUAGCCCUGACCAAGUCCAUUUUCUGGAGCAAAGUUUUGAGGUGGAAAACAUGCUUGAACCAGAGAGGAAUGUAAAAUUGGCUAAGGACUUGGGGCUGCAGCCCAGAUAGGUUGUGGACUUGCGGUUUGGUUCCAGAACUAGCAUGCCAAAUACAAGACAAAACAUAUUGAGAAAGAAUAUGAUUCCUUGAAGUCUUGCCAUGAUAAACUCACAUCAAAGCUGAUUGUGAUUCCCUCUCCUACGAACUCAAAUGACAUAUCUACCCUCACUUUUGACGGCUUAGACAGAAGGGACUAACGGAAGGAUGACAGCAGGUUAAAUUUCGUAACUCGGAGGACCACGGAUGAUAAUUAUGAAAGUUAGGGACUAUAGGUUGUGAAACCACCAAACUCGAGGGACCUUGACUG